rnacentral:tRNA from 1 species
GGACAGGUAGCCAAAAAGGUUAAGGCACCAGACUGACUUUUUAAGUCCGUUUCCCUGGUCCGACUCCUUACCCUCACGGGUCGAAGGACAGUAGGGUUAUCGUUGAAUCUGGGGAUUGCAGGUUCGAGUCCUGCCCUGUCCU